UAACUUGUCUUUCAGUCUGUCCAAUGUC
rnacentral:piRNA from 1 species